CGUCUUAAAUCAGUAAGCGAUCCCCGCGAGAUACCUCAGGUAAAUUAUGAAUACACAGUGUAGCUAGCUGUUUACCAUGUACUGAUCAGCUGAUAAGGGUUUAAAUACGACACGUGUUGAUGAAAGUCUGUGUUUUCACAAGUUUGCGGUUAAUUGGAACAGGAGUGAUUGGAAUAUAAUUAGUUAAGGAUUAUAAUUAGACUAUGCAAAGAAAUGGGAUAACAGUUGGUGGCGGCAUGCAUGGGCUCUUUCAUCACACUUCUCCCUUGAACAAGACUGAGCGGUUAUUAAAUUGAAUGGGCACAGGCGAAAGCCACCCUUAUGAACACUUUGAGCACAAUGGAGUGGAUUAUUGGUAAUCUGUCCGAGUCUCACCAAAACCUGUGCAAAGUCGCUACAGUGGGACUGCUUCUACCAACGUCUACAGCUGAUUGUGAGAGGUUUCAGCAGUUGAAAGUGUAAAGACCACCCACCAUUCACCAGUGAGCAUGAAAGCGCUUAAUGCCUUCCUCAUGGUGUCCAUGCAGGGACAAAAAAAUGAAUGACUUUAAUUUCAAUGGUGCAGUAAAGGAAUGGCACAGUGCCAAAGACAGACACUUACAUGAAAAAAAAAUGCCUAUUUGUUGUUAGUGUUAGUACAA
rnacentral:lncRNA from 1 species